UAAAAAGUGUACAAAUAAAAAUAUAAUAUAAAUAAUUAAUUAAUUAAAAUUUAAUAAUAAAAAUAAAUUAAUAAUAUAUAUUUUUAAUAUUAUUUAUUAAAAUAAUAAAAAUAUAUAUCGUGCAAUACUUUAAUUUUUCAUGCGAUUUCGAUUAUCGAAAUAAUCGAAAUAAUCGAAAUAUCGAGUUUCGUCGCCAGCCAAUGAGAGAGCUUCUUGGCGAGUUUUGGCGCGCAAUGUCAGUCUUCUGUGGAAAGUGAACAAGUGAGGACGUGUGAUCGCUGCCGGCUUGGAAAAUUCUACUGCGCAAUUAUUACCUGUAUAUUGGUCGAGAAGGCGGGAAAAAUUCCAACAUGGACGUCAUUAUAUUUUUUCAAAGGGAAGCUUGAUUUUUCGCUCGUCUAUUGACCUACUGAUAAAAUCAAUCAAUCAUCACUCAUCAUAUUUUAUAUAAUGUUUCUUUCUAUUUUUUCGGUUAUGUUUAUUUUUAAGUAGAAGGGGCCCCUAAACAAAUCUUUUAGAUAGAUUUUUAUACUGUUAGGUAGUUCCUUUAGAAUAAAGAGAAAUCCAUUUAGAUUCUGUGUUGAUAAUGUGAUAAGGUGUGAGUCUGUAAUGAAUUAGGAAGGUAUAAGUAUUAUAUUUUAUGGAUUAAUUCUGUGGAUAGGUAGGGAUGGUGUGAUAGGGUGUGAAUCUAUAAUGAA